rnacentral:rRNA from 1 species
GAAUAUUGGACAAUGGGGGGAACCCUGAUCCAGCCAUGCCGCGUGUGUGGAGAAGGCCUUUUGGUUGUAAAGCCCUUUAAGCGAGGAGGAGGCUACCCUAGUUAAUACCUCGGGAUAGUGGACGUUACUCGCAGACUACGCACCGGCCAACUCUGUGCCAGCCGCCGCGGUAAGACAGAGGGUGCAAGCGUUAAUCGGCUUUACGGGGCGUAAAGCGCGCGUAGGUGGCCAAUUAAGUCAAAUGUGAAAUCCCCGAGCCUAACUUGGGAAUUGCAUUCGAUACUGGUUGGCUAGAGUAUGGGAGAGGAUGGUAGAAUUCCAGGUGUAGCGGUGAAAUGCGUAGAGAUCUGGAGGAAUACCGAUGGCGAAGGCAGCCAUCUGGCCUAAUACUGACACUGAGGUGCGAAAGCAUGGGGAGCAAACA